UGGCGGACGGGUGAGAAACACGUGGGUAACCUGCCUCAAAGAGGGGGAUAGCCUUCCGAAAGGAAGAUUAAUACCGCAUAAGCUUACAGCAUCGCAUGAUGCCGUAAGAAAAGGAGUAAUCCGCUUUGAGAUGGACCCGCGGCGCAUUAGCUAGUUGGUGAGGUAACGGCUCACCAAGGCCGCGAUGCGUAGCCGACCUGAGAGGGUGAUCGGCCACAUUGGAACUGAGACACGGUCCAGACUCCUACGGGAGGCAGCAGUGGGGAAUAUUACACAAUGGAGGAAACUCUGAUGUAGCAACGCCGCGUGGAGGAUGACACAUUUCGGUGCGUAAACUCCUUUUAUAUGGGAAGAUAAUGACGGUACCAUAUGAAUAAGCACCGGCUAACUCCGUGCCAGCAGCCGCGGUAAUA
rnacentral:rRNA from 1 species